GGGGAAAUAUAUGUAGCUGAAAGUGACUUCAUAUUCUGACCCUUUCUCUGGAUUGUACGAGGCAAAAGAAGUCAAUAUUUGCAAACACAAAGCCACAUGACAUGAUGGCACAAAGCAGCAAUUAUUUCUGUGCAUCAAUAUACAAAGGCAGCUUGACAUCACAGUGACCCCACAAACAUGACCUCCUCUGCUCGGCCCUGCAGUACUGGUCCCGGGUCACAAGGCAGCUCCAGCCAACUGGGUCAAGGGGACCAGCUGGGAACAGAGCCCAGAUCUGCCUUGCCCAAGCACAGCGAAGACAGGAGGCACACGCCGAGCUUUGGGAAUUUCCACGGUGGUUUCAUAAGAACUUUCCAAUUUAGAAGCAUAUGGAAGAAAAAAAAGUUGUGGAAAGAUGAUAUAUGAUACAGUACCUGUGACCAAUUUAAAAACUUUUGUGAUGCUUGGAGGGUCAAGUAUUUCAACUACAGUGGUUCUUAACAUGCAGUCCCAGAACAACAUCGUCAAUACCAACUGGAAACUUGCCAGAAAGCAAAGUCUGAAUCCUCCCCAGUCCUGUGGAGUGAGACACCUUGACUACAGGGUAAGUUUAUCUAGACCUCCAGGUAUUGCUGCUGCUGCUCAAGUUUGCAAAACACUGGAGUAUAAAAUUAAGGGAAAAGGAGCAAUAUACUCUAGGAUAUAG
rnacentral:lncRNA from 1 species